GGCAGUUCUUGGGUGACACACACUAGAAUUGGGCUCCCUCCUCUCUGGUUCCGGGUGUGGCACCCGAGAACCGCA
rfam:Myotis brandtii contig303967, whole genome shotgun sequence.